CCUACGGGUGGCUGCAGUGGGGAAUAUUGGACAAUGGGCGAAAGCCUGAUCCAGCCAUGCCGCGUGUGUGAAGAAGGCCUUCGGGUUGUAAAGCACUUUCAGUGGGGAAGAAAGCCUUGGGGCUAAUACCCUCGAGGAAGGACAUCACCCACAGAAGAAGCACCGGCUAACUCGGUGCCAGCAGCCGCGGUAAUACGGAGGGUGCGAGCGUUAAUCGGAAUUACUGGGCGUAAAGCGCGCGUAGGCGGUCUGAUAAGCCGGUUGUGAAAGCCCCGGGCUCAACCUGGGAACGGCAUCCGGAACUGUCAGGCUAGAGUGCAGGAGAGGAAGGUAGAAUUCCCGGUGUAGCGGUGAAAUGCGUAGAGAUCGGGAGGAAUACCAGUGGCGAAGGCGGCCUUCUGGACUGACACUGACGCUGAGGUGCGAAAGCGUGGGUAGCAAACAGGAUUAGAUCCCCUAGUAGUC
rnacentral:rRNA from 1 species